rnacentral:rRNA from 1 species
UACGUAGGUGGCAAGCGUUGUCCGGAUUUACUGGGCGUAAAGGGCGUGCAGGCGGUUUGUUAAGUGCAGGGUGAAAGCUCCCGGCUUAACUGGGAGAGGCCAAUGGAUACUGUCGGACUUGAAUGUGGGAGAGGUGACUGGAAUUCCAGGUGUAGCGGUGAAAUGCGUAGAUAUCUGGAGGAACACCGGUGGCGAAGGCGGCUUCCUGG